rnacentral:rRNA from 1 species
UACGUAGGGUCCGAGCGUUGUCCGGAAUUACUGGGCGUAAAGAGCUCGUAGGUGGUUUGUCGCGUUGUUCGUGAAAACUCACAGCUCAACUGUGGGCGUGCGGGCGAUACGGGGCAGACUAGAGUACUGCAGGGGAGACUGGAAUUCCAGGUGUAGCGGUGAAAUGCGUAGAUAUCUGGAGGAAUACCGGUGGCGAAGGCGGCAUCCUGGACCGGCAUUGACGCUGAGGAGCGAAAGCUAGGGGAGCAAACGGG